AGUGAACGCUGGCGACAGGCCUAACACAUGCAAGUCGAGCGGCAGCGCGGGGCAACCUGGCGGCGAGCGGCGGACGGGUGAGGAAUACGUCGGAAUCUGCCUUUUUGUGGGGGAUAACGUAGGGAAACUUACGCUAAUACCGCAUACGACCUACGGGUGAAAGUGGGGGACCGCAAGGCCUCACGCAGAAAGAUGAGCCGACGUCCGAUUAGCUAGUUGGUGAGGUAAUGGCUCACCAAGGCGACGAUCGGUAGCUGGUCUGAGAGGAUGAUCAGCCACACUGGGACUGAGACACGGCCCAGACUCCUACGGGAGGCAGCAGUGGGGAAUAUUGGACAAUGGGCGCAAGCCUGAUCCAGCCAUGCCACGUGUGUGAAGAAGGCCUUCGGGUUGUAAAGCACUUUUGUCCGGAAAGAAAUCCUGAAGAUUAAUACUCUUUGGGGAUGACGGUACCGGAAGAAUAAGCACCGGCUAACUUCGUGCCAGCAGCCGCCGUAA
rnacentral:rRNA from 1 species